AUUGGUGGAAUGUAUGUUGAUAGUGUAUGAUUGGUGGAAGGAAUGUUGGUAGGGUAUGAUUGUUGGAAGGUAUGUUGGUAGUGUAUGAUUGUUGGAAGGUAUGUUGGUAGUGUAUGAUUGGUGUAAUUGGAGUAUGAUAAAUUGUAGUGUAUGAUUGGUAGUGUAUGAUUGUUGGAAGGUAUGUUGGUAGUGUAUGAUCUGUGCAAGGUAUGUUGAUAGUGUUUGAUUGGUGGAAGGUAUGUUGGUAGUGUAUGAUUGGUGGAAGGUAUGUUGGUAGUGUAUGAUCUGUGGAAGGUAUGUUGGUAGUGUAUGAUCUGUGGAAGGUAUGUUGGUAGUGUAUGAUCUGUGGAAGGUAUGUUGGUAGUGUAUGAUCUGUGGAAGGUAUGUUGGUAGUGUAUGAUUGGUGGAAGGUAUGUUGGUAGUGUAUGAUUGGUAGAAGGUAUGUUGGUAGUGUAUGAUUGGUGGAAGGUAUGUUGGUAGUGUAUGAUUGGUGGAAGGUAUGUUGGUAGUGUAUGAUUGGUAGAAGGUAUGUUGGUAGUGUAUGAUUGGUGGAAGGUAUGUUGGUAGUGUAUGAUUGGUGGAAGGUAUGUUGGCAGUGUAUGAUUGGUGUAAGGUAUGUUGCAAGUGUAUGAUUGUUGGAAGGUAUGUAGGCAGUGUAUGAUUGGUGGAAGGUAUGUUGGAAGCGUAUGAUUGGUGGAAUGUAUGUUGGAAGUGUAUGAUUGAUGGAAAGUAUGUUGGUAGUGUAUGAUUGGUGGAAGGUAUGUUGGUAGUGUAUGAUUGGUGGAAGGUAUGUUGGUAGUGUAUGAUUGGUAGCAUAUGAUUGGUGGAAGGUAUGUAGGCAGUGUAUGAUUGGUGGAAGGUAUGUUGGUAGCGUAUGAUUGGUGGA